GAUGAACGCUGGCGGCGUGCCUAAUACAUGCAAGUCGAGCGAACGGACGAGAAGCUUGCUUCUCUGAUGUUAGCGGCGGACGGGUGAGUAACACGUGGAUAACCUACCUAUAAGACUGGGAUAACUUCGGGAAACCGGAGCUAAUACCGGAUGAUAUUUUGAACCGCAUGGUUCAAAAGUGAAAGACGGCCUUGCUGUCUCUUAUAGAGGGAUCCGCGCUGCAUUAGCUAGUUGGUAAGGUAACGGCUUACCAAGGCAACGAUGCAUAGCCGACGUGAUAGAGUGAUCGCCCACAUUGGAGCUGAGACGCGGUCCAGACUCCUGCGGGAGGCACCAGUAGGGAACCUUCCGCAAUGGGCGAAAGCCUGACGGAGCAGCGCCGCGUGAGUGAUGAAGGUCUUCGGAUCGGAAAACUCUGUUAUUAGGGAAGAACAUAUGUGUAAGUAACUGUGCACAUCUUGACGGUACCUAAUCAGAAAGCCACGGCUAACUACGUG
rnacentral:rRNA from 1 species